UACGUAGGGGGCAAGCGUUGUCCGGAAUUAUUGGGCGUAAAGCGCGCGCAGGCGGCCUCUUAAGUCUGAUGUGAAAGCCCCCGGCUCAACCGGGGAGGGCCAUUGGAAACUGGGAGGCUUGAGUAUAGGAGAGAAGAGUGGAAUUCCACGUGUAGCGGUGAAAUGCGUAGAGGAUGUGGAGGAACACCAGUGGCGAAGGCGACUCUUUGGCCUAUAACUGACGCUGAGGCGCGAAAGCGUGGGGAGCAAACAGG
rnacentral:rRNA from 1 species